rnacentral:tRNA from 3 species
GCCGAUAUAGCUCAGUUGGUAGAGCAGCGCAUUCGUAAUGCGAAGGUCGUAGGUUCGACUCCUAUUAUCGACACCA